UACGAAGGGUGCAAACGUUGCUCGGAAUUACUGGGCGUAAAGCGUGCGUAGGUGGUGAGUUAAGUCUGUCGUGAAAGCCCCGGGCUCAACCUGGGAAUGGCGAUGGAUACUGGCUCGCUAGAGUGCGGUAGAGGAGAGUGGAAUUCCCGGUGUAGCAGUGAAAUGCGUAGAGAUCGGGAGGAACAUCAGUUGCGAAGGCGGCUCUCUGGACCAGCACUGACACUGAGGCACGAAAAGCGUGGGGGAGCAAACAGG
rnacentral:rRNA from 1 species